rnacentral:rRNA from 1 species
GAUCCUGGCUCAGGACGAACGCUGGCGGCGUGCUUAACACAUGCAAGUCGAACGAGAAUCUGUGGAAAGAGGAUUCGUCCAAUUGAAGCAGAGGACAGUGGCGGACGGGUGAGUAACGCGUGAGGAACCUGCCUUUCAGAGGGGGGACAACAGUUGGAAACGACUGCUAAUACCGCAUGACACAUCGGAGUCGCAUGGCUCUGAUGUCAAAGAUUUAUCGCUGAAAGA